AGGCCAGAGGAAAGCAGUCAGUGUGGGAAGAUCAGUAACCCAAAGCAGAAGAAAAGCUAGGAGAGCAAUGGAGUCUUCAUCAGAAGAGAGUGAUGAUCAAGAGCUUCCGGAGCCUGUCCCAGAUGCAGUUCCACGACCAUCAAGGCGCGCAAAAACAGAGGCAAUUUUGAAAACAAAAAUGGAUCUUACCUACCUUUUGAAUAAAGAAACAAGUUAGAUUUGUUGCAACACUUUUAAUUUGAUUGUAUUUGUUGUCUUAUGGUCUGUGUAAUAGUAGCUUUUGUCUAUAAUUAAGUGUUUGAAAACAAAUAUUUUAUAUGUGUACAUAUGUUUAUAUUUCUGUAAUAAAGAAGUUUUGAUCAUGUUA